AUACGGAAGGCAGCAGUGGGGAAUUUUGGACAAUGGGCGCAAGCCUGAUCCAGCAAUGCCGCGUGCAGGAUGAAGGCCUUCGGGUUGUAAACUGCUUUUGUACGGAGCGAAAAGGCUUCCACUAAUACUGGGGGCUCAUGACGGUACCGUAAGAAUAAGCACCGGCUAACUACGUGCCAGCAGCCGCGGUAAUACGUAGGGUGCAAGCGUUAAUCGGAAUUACUGGGCGUAAAGCGUGCGCAGGCGGUUAUGUAAGACAGAUGUGAAAUCCCCGGGCUUAACCUGGGAACUGCAUUUGUGACUGCAUAGCUAGAGUACGGUAGAGGGGGAUGGAAUUCCGCGUGUAGCAGUGAAAUGCGUAGAUAUGCGGAGGAACACCGAUGGCGAAGGCAAUCCCCUGGACCUGUACUGACGCUCAUGCACGAAAGCGUGGGGAGCAAACAGGAUUAGAUACCCCAUAGUCG
rnacentral:rRNA from 1 species